GACGAACGCUGGCGGCGUGCUUAACACAUGCAAGUCGAACGGAAAGGCCUCUUUCGGGGGGUACUCGAGUGGCGAACGGGUGAGUAACACGUGAGUAACCUGCCCUUGACUUUGGGAUAACUUCAGGAAACUGGGGCUAAUACCGGAUAGGAGCUCCUGCUGCAUGGUGGGGGUUGGAAAGUUUCGGCGGUUGGGGAUGGACUCGCGGCUUAUCAGCUUGUUGGUGGGGUAGUGGCUUACCAAGGCUUUGACGGGUAGCCGGCCUGAGAGGGUGACCGGCCACAUUGGGACUGAGAUACGGCCCGGACCCCUCCGGGAGGGAGCAGUGGGGAAUAUUGCAAAAUGGGUGGAAGCCUGAUGCAGCAACGCCGGGUGCGGGAUGACGGCCGUCGGGUUGUAAACCGCUUUCGCUCAUGACGAAGCUUUGUGUGAAGGUAGGGGGUAAAGAAGCACCGGCUAACUACGU
rnacentral:rRNA from 1 species